CUUCGGCCUGCCGGCGAGUGGCGAACGGGUGAGUAAUGCAUCGGAACGUGCCCAGUCAUGGGGGAUAACUACGCGAAAGCGUAGCUAAUACCGCAUACGCCCUGAGGGGGAAAGUGGGGGAUCUUCGGACCUCACGUGAUUGGAGCGGCCGAUGUCAGAUUAGCUAGUUGGUGAGGUAAAGGCUCACCAAGGCGACGAUCUGUAGCGGGUCUGAGAGGAUGAUCCGCCACACUGGGACUGAGACACGGCCCAGACUCCUACGGGAGGCAGCAGUGGGGAAUUUUGGACAAUGGGCGCAAGCCUGAUCCAGCCAUGCCGCGUGAGUGAAGAAGGCCUUCGGGUUGUAAAGCUCUUUCGCAAGGGAAGAAAACGUGUGGGCUAAUAUCCUGCGCGGAUGACGGUACCUUGACAAGAAGCACCGGCUAACUACGUGCCAGCAGCCGCGGUAAUACGUAGGGUGCGAGCGUUAAUCGGAAUUACUGGGCGUAAAGCGUGCGCAGGCGGUUGUGUAAGACAGGUGUGAAAUCCCCGGGCUUAACCUGGGAACUGCGCUUGUGACUGCACGGCUAGAGUACGGCAGA
rnacentral:rRNA from 1 species